UACGUAGGGGGCCAGCGUUGUCCGAAGUUACUGGGCGUAAAGAGCUCGUAGGUGGUUUGUCGCGUUGUUCGUGAAAACUCACAGCUUAACUGUGGGCGUGCGGGCGAUACGGGCAGACUUGAGUACUGCAGGGGAGACUGGAAUUCCUGGUGUAGCGGUGGAAUGCGCAGAUAUCAGGAGGAACACCGGUGGCGAAGGCGGGUCUCUGGGCAGUAACUGACGCUGAGGAGCGAAAGCGUGGGGAGCGAACAGG
rnacentral:rRNA from 1 species